rnacentral:tRNA from 1 species
GCGUUCUCGUUCGGACUGUUCGUGUUCGCCCCUGUCUGGGGCGCAAUCGCCGACAUCACGGGUCGCCGGCGUGCGAUACUCGUCGGGACCGCGC